rnacentral:ribozyme from 12 species
AGAAAGAACAAAAGAAGUGUGGAGGUAGUAACUCUUCCAUAAAAAAUUGCACCAUUUUUCAAACAUGAUGAGAAGACUUGGCAUCAUUUUUUUUUUUUUUUUUUUUUUUUGUACUUAUGGGUUUAUAGUGACAUUGAAAGGAAAGCAUGCAAUCAAACGGUGUAUAGACUGAACAGAGAAAUCAUCGAA